AGCCCCUGGGCCCGUGGCCCUUACUGAUUCAACCUCCCCCAGCACCGCCCGCUGAGUGCGGCUCCCUCGGGACGCUGGACCCACCCAGCUGCAAGCUGCGGGCAGCAGCCGCCCUCCGGUCACCACCGAGCCCCUCGAGCGCGCCUACCUUGUGACCUUUCCCGGGGGGGCACCGGACGUUAUUGGAGGCGCCCGCUGUUUGAUUCAUGUCCGGAGGCAGUUGGGGGCUCAGGACUCCAGUCUCUGCCUUCAAAACUUCCUGGGUGCCCGGCGUCCCCCUCGCCAGCCCUGUCUGGGCGAAUCCUCCGUGCAGGUGUCCCGGGUCUGCCGGCGGGGACACUAAAGCCCGCAGCGGAGGCGAAGGAGAAGCAGCUGCCGGACCCGAAGGGAGCAGGGCGGGCGCCGGCGGCUCCCAGGGGCGCUGCCCAGACCCAGAGCUGCCUUCCCUGGAAGCGGUCCAGGACUCCGGAGCAGAGGGAGCCGGGAGCGCCGGAGGCAGCUGGGCUCCGGCAGGAAUGUGACCCCUGGGGCGGCAGGAAUGUGACCCCUGGGGGUAAGCGGAGCUGGAAGGCAGAAGGCGCUGUGGUGCGUCAGGUCAGGCCGCUGUGGUGCGUCAGGUGAGCGCGGCUGUUACUCAGACAGUCCAGGGCUGCCCGGGAAGCCAACUCAGGUAGACGCAACAGUGCUAUUACCAGACGCCGCAGCACCAUCCUGGUGAAGCAGAGGGAGCCUCGAUGACAGAGAGCGAGAGCGGUGAACGCCGCGGCGCCCCUCCGGCCUCCGGGAGCCCGCGGGGAGCCCAGUACCCGACCGCGACAGCGGGCAAGGAAAUCCAAGGGCUCUGACCGCCGACCGGUGUCCGCGCGAGAAGCCCUCGGCCGUCCACCGUUAGCAUUUCUGUCGCCGGCGGGUUCCUGGGUUCCCACACGGCC